rnacentral:rRNA from 1 species
GAUGAACGCUGGCGGCGUGCUUAACACAUGCAAGUCGAACGAAGCACUUUAUUUGAUUUCCUUCGGGACUGAUUAUUUUGUGACUGAGUGGCGGACGGGUGAGUAACGCGUGGGUAACCUGCCUUGUACAGGGGGAUAACAGUUGGAAACGGCUGCUAAUACCGCAUAAGCGCACAGCAUCGCAUGAUGCAGUGUGAAAAACUCCGGUGGUAUAAGAUGGACCCGCGUUGGAUUAGCUAGUUGGUGAGGUAACGGCCCGCCAAGGCGACGAUCCAUAGCCGACCUGAGAGUGUGACCGGCCACAUUGGGACUGAGACACGGCCCAAACUCCUACGGGAGGCAGCAGUGGGGAAUAUUGCACAAUGGGCGAAAGCCUGAUGCAGCGACGCCGCGUGAGCGAAGAAGUAUUUCGGUAUGUAAAGCUCUAUCAGCAGGGAAGAUAAUGACGGUACCUGACUAAGAAGCACCGGCUAAAUACGUG